AAGCCGCGUGAGGGAAGAAGGUACAGAGUAUCGUAAACCUCUUUUGUCGGGGAACAAAAGCGGGGACGCGUCCCCGUCUGCGUGUACCCGAAGAAAAAGCAUCGGCUAACUCCGUGCC
rnacentral:rRNA from 1 species